UUAUGGGCAAAGUAGAGCACAAAAAGAGUAGAUGUGCAGAUUGUGAAGUGCUUCUGUCAGGUAGAUUCAGAUUGUGCUGGCAAUGCAGUGCUCACAGAUUUAUGAUUCAAAGGAGCUGCUCACUGGGAAAACACUGGCAAUAUUUUUAGGCUGUAUCAUGGUUACUGAAGAGAGGGACAAUCAGCUGACUCUCUAUCUGGCUUCCUUACAACUUUUAAAUCUAUACAGUAAUUUCUAAUUCCUAAAUGAAUUAAAAAAAAAGAAUUCUAGAACUGGGAGACAAAAAGACAAAAGCCUUUAAAACCAGGAAAAGACAAUAAUUGUGCCACGUGGUGAUAUAACAACAUCUAAAAUAGUCUCAUAUCACAACAAUGAUAUUAUAUUGAUAAAUUGCCCAGUCCUGGUUCCUAUCAGCUUCAAAGUACAGAAGCCCCACUGCCUGACAAACACACUGUGGCACGCAUUUCCCUGCAUCAUUAGGUCAUCGGGAAAACUGGCUGCCUUUCUGGGAAAAGUAGGCCACCUGCUCAUUAUGGAGCUCCACCAUCCGCUGAUCAAUCAUGAAAGUAACUUGGGCACAGCUCAGCAGAAACACGGACUAAGCAUCUCUUGUCCUGGGCAUCAAUCCAAAUGCCACUGCCUCACUCAUUCAUGGAGUACAGACAGAUUUGGUGACAUUUCCCUUUUCCGCACACUGGAGGCAGCACUGGACCAGUAUCCCUAUGCAGACACAGAGGAUGUAUGCCGCAACGAGUCCAUCUGAGGUGGAGUGCUGCUGGUGCAAACUCAGCAGUCUGCGACUCCAUCAAAUCUCAGUAUGCCAGCAGUGGACUAAAAAUAGUUAGAAAGAAAGGACCCAACCACAAGACACACACAGGGGCAAGUGGGCAGAGGAGCAUGCAAGUUCGCUUCUGGACGGAGGGUGCUGUUCCCUGCGGUGCUGACUGACAGGAAUAAAUCAGGAAUACAGGAGGCGCAUGAGGACUGGGGAACAGGCACAGGAGCACAGGAGAUGUGUGGUCGAAAACAGGACUGGCACACAGAGAGAGAGAGAGAGACACUGGGAACAGGGCGCUGCUAUCAGGGCCAAUGACUGACAGUAAACACCUGGAUUCCACAUUGGUUCAGUAUGUGUUGCGAUGUGUUGCUGUGGAAAAACAAGCUGCUGAGAACACCUCUCUCCAUGCCGCAUGUCUCAAAGAGAUCUGAUUCAUCUCACCGAGUCACUAAGGUGAAUUCCCCGUACAUUUGGCGACGGGAUGGACACUCUGCUUAUCGAUGCCAUGCCUGGACUGAAGGUUAAACUGCCGGUGGGAGCCUCAAGAAGACUUAGUGAAAGCCCCUCUGCGACAAAGCAUGAGUGUAGUAAUCAAAUAGUUGGAAAGUCCACCAGUUCCUUUGUGGUCUUGGUAUUAUAUUGUACGGGCUUACACAUCUUUCUCUUAAGAGAAACGACAUUAAGUGAAGCAAUAAAACAGCAAUGAAACA